rnacentral:rRNA from 1 species
GACGAACGCUGGCGGCGUGCUUAACACAUGCAAGUCGAACGGAAAGGCCCUGCUUUUGUGGGGUGCUCGAGUGGCGAACGGGUGAGUAACACGUGAGUAACCUGCCCUUGACUUUGGGAUAACUUCAGGAAACUGGGGCUAAUACCGGAUAGGAGCUCCUGCUGCAUGGUGGGGGUUGGAAAGUUUCGGCGGUUGGGGAUGGACUCGCGGCUUAUCAGCUUGUUGGUGGGGUAGUGGCUUACCAAGGCUUUGACGGGUAGCCGGCCUGAGAGGGUGACCGGCCACAUUGGGACUGAGAUACGGCCCAGACUCCUACGGGAGGCAGCAGUGGGGAAUAUUGCACAAUGGGCGGAAGCCUGAUGCAGCAAGGCCGCGUGCGGGAUGACGGCCUUCGGGUUGUAAACCGCUUUCGCCUGUGACGAAGCGUGAGUGACGGUAAUGGGUAAAGAAGCACCGGCUAACUACGUG